CUGUUCCGGCCCCGCGGCCGGGAGAGAGGAAAGUCCGGGCUCCACAGGGCAGGAUACUCCGUAACGCGGAGUGGGGGCGACCCUAAGGAAAGUGCCACAGAAAAGACACGGCCCACCCGGCGGGUUUCCGCCGGCGGCAAAGGUGAAAAGGUGAGGUAAGAGCUCACCAGUACCGUUGGCGACAGCGGUAGCUUGGCAAACCCUAUCCGGAGCAAGAUCGAAUAGGAAAGUGUUCGAGGGCGGCCCGUCCGAUGCUUUCGGGUUGAUCGCU
rnacentral:RNase_P_RNA from 1 species